GAUGAACGCUAGCGGCAGGCUUAACACAUGCAAGUCGAGGGGUAUAGUUCUUCGGGACUUGAGACCGGCGCACGGGUGCGUAACGCGUAUGCAAUCUACCUUAUACAGGGGAAUAGCCCAGAGAAAUUUGGAUUAAUGCCCCAUAGUGUUAUCGAAUCGCAUGGUUUGAUAACUAAAGUUCCAACGGUAUAAGAUGAGCAUGCGUCCCAUUAGUUAGUUGGUAAGGUAACGGCUUACCAAGACAAUGAUGGUAGGGGUCCUGAGAGGGAGAUCCCCACACUGGUACUGAGACACGGACCAGACUCGUGAUGCU
rnacentral:rRNA from 1 species